rnacentral:rRNA from 1 species
GGAGUCUGGUCCGUGUCUCAGUACCAGUGUGGGGGACCUUCCUCUCAGAACCCCUACGCAUCGUCGCCUUGGUGGGCCGUUACCCCGCCAACAAGCUAAUGCGCCGCAUGCCCAUCCCCUUCCGACAAAUCUUUCCCCGCAACAUCAUGCGAUCUCGCGGACUACGGGGCAUUAGGCCAAAAUUU